GAUGAACGCUGACAGAAUGCUUAACACAUGCAAGUCAACUUGAACUUCGGUUUGGGUGGCGGACGGGUGAGUAACGCGUAAAGAACUUGCCUCACAGCUAGGGACAACAUUUGGAAACGAAUGCUAAUACCUGAUAUUAUGAUUUUAGGGCAUCCUAGAAUUAUGAAGGCUAUAUGCGCUGUGAGAGAGCUUUGCGUCCCAUUAGCUAGUUGGAGAGGUAACGGCUCACCAAGGCGAUGAUGGGUAGCCGGCCUGAGAGGGUGAACGGCCACAAGGGGACUGAGACACGGCCCUUACUCCUACGGGAGGCAGCAGUGGGGAAUAUUGGACAAUGGACCAAGAGUCUGAUCCAGCAAUUCUGUGUGCACGAUGAAGUUUUUCGGAAUGUAAAGUGCUUUCAGUUGGGAAGAAAAAAAUGACGGUACCAACAGAAGAAGUGACGGCUAAAUACGUG
rnacentral:rRNA from 1 species